CGGGGGCUCGUGCCCCGGCGGGCGCUGAGGUGGUUCUGGCGGUCGGGGGGUGUUGUCGUGCUGCUCAGCACAGCUUUCGUUCCUCUGUACUCGGCGGAGUUUUUAUGCGUUGCCCUCAGGUGGGAUGAAUUUGACUGCAACAAAAGUCCACUGAGAUGCGUCAGUGUUUCCCGAAGGCUCUUAAUCUCUUAUAACUUCCUCUCCUUUUGGGGGCAGAGCUCCCAUCAGUGCGUACCGCACUGCAGCUGAUGGCGUUCACCCUCUGACACUUUGUUUCUGCUCGAUGUAACGCGAGGGUUUGGGGCGCCGCAGAACUACGUGGUUUCAUGGCAUCGUUUUUAGUUUAGAUCGGCAAAUCGUUAACAAUUACUUUCUGCUUAUCCGUAUCUUCGGAGUCUGGGGACGAGAUCCUUCCUCUUGCGAUCCAUCGGCACCUGAAGGAUCUCUGAAAGGAAACCGGUGGAACGUGUGAGGGCUUCCUCUGGCGGAAAAGAACAAGACGAAAUAAGACACUAGGGAAGCUAAUGUGAGACACUAGUGCCCAAAUCACUUUAGACACGACUGAUAUGGCUGAUGAGGUAAGACAUCUGCAAAAGUAACCUCCUAUGUCUCUCAUGGAGGAAUGCUGCCAUAGAAAGACAGCCCAGGUGGUACCGUGUCUGCAGACUGCUCCAGGGCCCACAGUCCUCCUGGUGGUCUCAGAAGAGCCGAUCACAAGCUGCUGGCCCCACUCUUUGCAGUUGCUAAGCUGUUGUCUCAAGGUAGCUAAAACAUAUUAAAUACUUGCCUAAAAUUAUUUUUCCAUGCAGGCAAUUGCUAUAUCUGGCACAAAGAUGUUUUAUGAUCAUUACUGGGAAGUGAAACUAAGAGUUUCUCUACAAAAUGUGGCCAAAACUCUUGGGAGAGUCUUGAGAACUCCUGCUUUAAACACAUUUAGUUGUGUGUGUACAGAGUGCUGUGUUCUUCACCUCCUGACACUGAUGCUUUUGCUGUGCAUAGCUGAGAUUCUUGCAUAAUUUAACAGAACCAUCUCAGGUGUCUCCCACUCUGUUCAGAGCACUCAGCUGUGUUCCAGAUUUUGGCACAAAGCUUGUAUCACAUUACAUUCGAGAAGAGUUUACCAGCAAUGAUUAUUUAGAGAAUUUUCUAGAAAAUAGAUUUUUUUAAAAAAACACAUGUAUUUGAAUGGCUCCCUGAAUAUUUAUAAAUGACAGCAGCCUGGAGUCAAGUUUUUCAGUUCCUUGGAUUUAGUCUGACAAAGUGUAAUCAGCGUUAUUUAUGUUUCUGUCUCAAAUUCUGGCACUAUUGGAGCAAGUGAAAUAAGUCCUUAUCAUCUUUUUUUUCCCUGAUACACUGAAAAUGCUUGCUGCUUUUUUGUGUUACUGCUUCAUCUUCAUGGUAUUCAGACAGGCUUGUGCCUAGCAUGAAAGACCCACCGAGUGGAACAGGAACCAGCAAAAAUCGUUGCAAGAUGAGGAUGCUGGAAAAAAUGUAAAAACAGAUGAACUUAUUAAAAAUUGAUUUGGUUUUCACACACUUUUUCAUACUGUAAUUGCAAAACCUUCUGAAAUUUGCUGUUAAGCAGAACUCUGAAUUAUAUCCAGGUGCAGUAAAAUGAAUUAUGCAAAUGAUUUUAUUGGAAGAGCAUGCACAUUUACAUGUACAUAUUAUUUGCCUGGUCUUCCCAUUACAGUUGUGGUUAAAUUCUCACUUAUAAAAACAAGAGUUCUCUAGAGAAUCCAAAUUUCCUUUUCUGAUAUGGUAUAAAUCUGUCAUGUUAAUGUAGGGCACAUGGAGCUUGGAGAGAUUAAUAUGAAUAAAUACCAAAACGCGCUAACCAUUAUUUUUAGUUGUUUUAGGUUUGUUUUCUAGGGAAACAGAGCUCUGAUAUUUUGAUGUUCAGGAACAAUUUUGCUAUGAGUCCUCCAUAGCAAUUUCUGAAUCUUUUUCUAGAUACUUUACAGUAAUUAUAACAUUUUUGUUAUAAAAAAAGUCAAGCUGUGUCAGUUCUCUCCAGUCUGUCCUUAACCUUGUAAACUUCUGCUGUUUUAGAGUUCUGGAGAACUUUUGUGAGAUCACCUUUCUGAUUUUCUGGUGUGUGCAUAUUUCUCUUCAGGAGAAUCCAGCUGACAUAGAGGUCCAUAUGUGAGGAAAACAGCCACCUUCAGGUCUGACCAUUCUAAUUUCUACAUGUUGAACAAGCUUGCUGUGGCUGUUUUUGCUGUGCAUAAGCUACUCUGAAUAUGCAUACAGUUUUGAUAAGUGACCAAAGCCAGCUUUUUUCCCUUCACCAAAUAUCUCAUUCAUCUUUCUCAGUCUUAUAGUUCUCCUUACUGCAGACCAUUUUGAUAUUCUGCCAUUCAUGCCACCAGCUUCUCAUUUAUGAAAGAGAAGCAAAAUAAAAUAAACCAAGCAGAAAUAAAGCAGUUUGCUUCAUGCAUAUUCCAAGUUUGAAUCCUGUCUUUAGACUGAUACUUCACAUUCUGUUUUACUUUGAACACAUUCCUGUAUGUUUUCCCAUAGUCUUGCUUCAAGCAAGCAAGACAAGCUGUUCUGAAACUUGCUCUUCCAUCCAAAUACAUGCUACUGAUUUGUGUUUAUAUAUAUGCGUGUGAAUAUAUACUUAUUAUGUGUGUAUGUAUAUAAACUUGCCCAGUCAUCAGGCUACAGUCCACUUUGCUGAAUGUUGAAAUACAUCCAUUGUUGCUACUCCACCCAACUUGAGAAGUUAUACUGGGGCUUUCUUAGACUUGGAAUUUUCCUGUUUUGAACUGUUAAUUAUUUUAAUUAUGAAUAUUAUCUAAGACUUUAAUAAAGGUAGUUUUACCUGUACAAUCUGUACCAUUUAAUUGUCCCCCAUACUGUUUCUCAUUGUAUGAUCAGUGUCUGACCAUCCCUUGUUGUUCUUAUUAGACUCUCACAAGUUAAUCAUUUAUUAAUUCUGGUUUGCAGUUAAAACACUUCCAGUAUUGACAUGCAGAUCAAACAUCUCAGAGUUUUACUGCCACCUCCUGACCUCUGGCACAACUACUGAUAUUUUUUUCAAUCUUGUUUAGUGGUUUGGAUUUGCCUAAAUAAGUCUCUUAGCACCACCAAACUGGGUUGGACAUGGCUGGA
rnacentral:lncRNA from 1 species